CUACCUUGUUAUUACGACUUCACCCCAGUCAUGAAUCCUACCGUGGUAAUCGCCCUCCUUACGGUUAGGCUAACUACUUCUGGUAAAACCAGCUCCAUGGUACUGACGGGCAGUGCGCAAGACCCGGGAACCUUCUGCGAUGAUGGUCCGCGAUUACCAGCGAUUCCGACUUCCCGCAGUCGAGUUGCAGACUGCGAUCGGACCACACGAUCGGGUUUCUGGGAUGCGCUCCCCCUCGCGGGUUGGCGGCCCCUCUGUCCCGACCAUUGUAUGACGUUGUUCCCCUACCGCAAGGGCCAUGAGGGCGCAGCAUCCGCCCACCUUCCUCCGGUUUAUCACCGGCGAUCUCAUUAGAGUGCCCUUUCGUAGCAACUAAUGACAAGGGUUGCGCUCGUUGCGGGACAACCCGGCUUAUCUCGCCUGACAGCGGCAGCCAUGCAGCACCUAUGUUCGGUUCUCUUGCGAGCACUCCCAAAUCUCUUUCAGGUUCCAGACAUGUCAAGGGUAGGUAAGGUUUUUUCGCGUUGCAUCAGAUUAAUCCACAUCAUCCACCGCCUUGUGCGGGUCCAAAUCAAUUCCUUUGAGUUUUUAAUCUGCCGCAAUAGCCACUCCCCAGGCGGUCAACUUCCGCAGCCCGUUAGCUGCGCUACAAGAGCCGAAGGCCCCAACAGCUAGUUGACUCAUUUUGCAGGCGUAAGGACUGCAGGGUAUCUAAUCCUGUUUGCUCCUGCGCUUUCGUGCAUGAGCGUCAGUGUUGAGGCUGUAUUCGCCAUCAGUGUUCCUCCGCAUAUCUACGCAUUUCACUGCUACACGCGGAAUUCACCUCCCUCUGACACACUCUGGCUCAGUAGUUAAAAAUGCAGUUCCAAAGAAAGUUAAGCUCUGGGAUUUCACAUCUUUCUUUUCCGAACCGCCUGCGCACUUUUGCCGCCCAGUAAUUCCGAUUAACGCUUGCACCUACGUGUGCGCGGCCUUUGGCACGUGGCGUUAAGCCGGUGCUUAUUCUGUAGGUACCGUCAGUUGCACGGGGUGUUAUCCAAUGCCGUUUCUUCCUGCCAAAAGUGCUUUACAACCCGAAGGCGCCCAUGCGCACACGCCCAGGAUGGCUGGAUCAGGGGUUUCCCCCAUUAUGAAAUUCCCCCUGCUGCACUCCCGUAGGAGUCUAGGCCGUGUCUCAGUCCCGAUGUGGCUGGUUAAUCCUCUCAAACCAGCUACGGAUCAUCAACCAGUGUGAGCCGUUACCCCACCACCAACUAGCUAAUCCGAUAUCGGCCGCUCCUAAUAGUGCGAGGCCGAAGGUCCCCCCGCUUUCCCGAAGGGCGUAUGCGGUAUUAGCUACGCUUUCGCGUAGUUAUCCCCCGCUAUAAGCUGUUCGGGUGACUAAGUAUCACCGUUCACCACUCGCCACCAGACCGAAGUCCGUGCUGCCGUUCGACUUGCAUGUGGCAACAUCCCGCCAGCGUUCAAUCUGAGCCAGAAUCGAACU
rnacentral:rRNA from 1 species